rnacentral:rRNA from 1 species
UCCGUAGGCGGUGUAGCAAGUCGAUAGUGAAAUCUCUGGGCUUAACUCAGAGGCUGCUAACGAAACUGCUAUGCUAGAGUGUGAGAGAGGCGAGUGGAAUUACGGGUGUAGCGGUGAAAUGCGUAGAUAUCCGUAGGAACAUCCGAGGCGAAGGCGGCUCGCUGGAUCACAACUGACGCUGAGGGACGAAAGCUAGGGGAGCAAACAAGAUUAGAUACCCUGGUAGUCCUAGCCCUAAACCAUCAGGACUUGGGGUUUGCCCUGUACGGGGCAAGUCCCGUAGCUAACGCGUUAAGUCCUGCGCCUGGGGAGUACGGUCGCAAGGCUGAA